AAACAGAAAGAUAAACUAAAUUAUGUCAGAAGAACAUAAUGUGUAAAAUAUAUAAUAAAAUUAAAGAUGAGAUUAGCCCCUGAAAAUCUCUCUAUCAUGACCUGAAAGCCUACUAAUUUGGUCCUGAGAGGUAUGGCCCUUCCUAGUUUUAACAGUGAGAAAUAUAUCGCCCUGGGUCCUGAUGGAGAGAACCUAUGGAGGAUAAGGCCCCCUCCAGUGGAGAAAGAAAAGACCCCAUUAUGACUGCUACAUCCCUUGCUGACGAUGGCCGGGGAGGCCAGCACUCCUGCCAGUGUAUACUAAAGUAUUGCUGUCCAAAUUAUCCAGCUUCAUCUUUGCCAUCUAUCGCAGUCAUGUUCAAUGUCUUAUAACAAGCAAUGAUGCUCUUCUGGUUCAAUAAAAUCUUACACAAGCUCAGAGAAAAGGGUGGGUGGGUCAUUGCUUCAGGGGGAGAGGGGCUGAUCAUUUUCUUAGGGCCUCUUUCCCCACGCAGAGACUGGUGAGGCCUGAUGAGUCACCUUUGCUCUGAAUCCCAAGCGUCUGAAAACCCCUUGUCCAAUCUAGGCAAAAGGAUGGACAUCAGAAAGGAAAGAGGGAGGGAGGGAGGGAAGGAGGGAAGCAAUAGAAGAAUGAAAGGAGAGAGGAAAGAAUGUUGGUUUUUAUUGCAGCUUGCACAGGAUUCUUGUGGGAGCCAGUAGGGAAACUGUAAUUUUGAAUCGGAUAAAUUGGGGCUACCUCUUCUUGUUCAUCAAGACCACUCUUAGCUCUUUUCAUCCCAAUAAAACAAACCAUGAUCCACCAAGAGACUGAGGAGAUAGUACGGUGCCCUUCUAAGUGUCUGGGCUCCAAACCAAACUGCCUGGGUUUGAAUCCUGGCCCUGCUACUUAUUUGCUGUGUGAUACUGGACAAGCAAUUUAACCUCUCUGUGCCAGUUUUCUCAUCUGCAGAAAUGGGUGCUGACAGUACCUACCUCAUGGGAUCAUCGUGAAGAGAAAAUGUGUUAGUAUAUGUAUGGCAUUUAGAAUAGUGUUCAGCGCACAGUAAGGGAAUAAAUGUCAGCCGUCGUUAGCUGUGGGUAUAUAAAGACACUAUUUCCGCAAUGUCAGUUUUUGCCCACACAGUUUCCAGUCCUCUGCUCUCAGGUGGGACAGGUUGGCUCUCAGGGCCUCAGGAUGGCUCAGCUCACCUGGCAGUGGGGGCAGGUGGCUGAGGACUUUCCCCACCGACUGCAGCUGAGGUUCUAUGGGCAUGGUGGGUUGAGCAGGGGGAGGAAUGAGGUUAGGAGUCCUUUCAUUGUUUUGCUCGGGCAGAAGGACUCUACGGUAGCAUGCAGCCAUGAUCUUAUUUUACAGCUGCAGGAUGUGGGUAGAUAAACUUCUCCCUAAUCCAUAUGAUCUAUAAGCCCAAAGGUUGUUUAAUAGGGGGUGGUCGCAGGGGGUCCAUGGCCUCCUCCUUUACAGUGGCUAUGUGAUAUGGCUGAGCUCUGAGAAAGAGCACUUGGCUAUGAUGCAGCUGGCCUAAAAUUCAUAGCCCCAUUCUGUUGAUCUGAUCUACUUCUGGGGGAUAAGGUGGCACCACAGCGUCUCAGGUGCUAUAUAGGAGACUUCCCAAGAGUUUCCCAUAUCAAUUUUAAGGUGCUGUCUACACAUGAGGGGACAGUUUUAUGAAGACACAGGGGAGAGUUACCAGCAGAGUGAUGGCCAAAGCUUUGAGCUAGAAGGUUUUUAUCUUCCUGACACAUCACCCUGGGGUUUUCCUGAUGUUUCCAUCCAUCUGUUAAGUGCAGUGUGAGGUCAUGUCCUGCAGGGAGUUUGCCAUUUACUCUGGAAUACCAAACUUACAGGCCACACUCUAGGUACAGACAGCGCUAGUCCUGUGGGCAGUUGGGAAGAGGAGUGGGGGGCUUUGUGGCCGAGGAGGGGCUUCGGGUCAGCAAGGUUGAUGGUUGGGUUUGAACAGUCAGUGGAGAAGGAAUCGCGGACAGACCAAAGAAGUGGACAUGGGCAUGUGCAUGCCAGAGAGGGCAGGGAGAAGGGAUUCAUGGAGGUGGCAAGAGCAGCACAUUGAUCUCUGCUUCUGCCAGAAGGUCAGAGGGGCUCGAGGGGAUGGCCUAGCCAGAGUACGGGCAGCCUUGAAGCCCCAGUGGAAUAAUUUCAACUUGAUUUAUGGAAAAUGACAUAUGACAAUGUAGGAGGGCUUGUCUUCUAACUGAAACCAGCUGGGAAUCUUUCCCAAUAGAGUCCAGGACAGGGCAAAAUGAGGGCCUUUGGCAUCAUGUGCAAAUGUGCAUGCAUGUAACGAGUGUGUGUGGCCUGCCAUGCUUCUGAAGGUACCUUUACCUCUUCUAGUUCUUCGAAGCGCUUAACCCUCUUAUCUGUGAGCAUGGACAAUGUGGGGCUUACACAGACAUGGUUCUUUAUGAGCCUUCACAAGACCACAGUGUGCCAUCUUGUCAGAAGAAGAAAGUGGGGCACUCUAUUCUAAAGAGCCUGGUUCUGGGAGCUGCCCUUGAAUCACUGUGGAGCAAGACUCGGGGUGUGGGCUGCCGGGCCUCUUCCUUCAGGGAUCUGGCUUCCAAAGUUGGUUCUUUUCCUGCAUCUCAUAAAGAGGGAAAGGGUGUGCCUAAGAGAGGUUAUUUGGGUGAACGGCCAUUGUAAUCGCUUCUCAUCCGGCACAGGUGGAUAGAGGCAGGAUGGGGGAAGAGGGCUGCCUGUAUCUGGGAUUUCCAAUUCCCCAUACUCCUCAGCCUAUUAGUGAGGGGGAGCUAGAGGAGGGGUGUGGACUUAGCAUAUUAAGAAAGAGAAGCACUUACUCCUUAACAGUGGGAACGAAGGAUGGCAGAGGAAGUUUGAACUCUGAGACAAGAGGAGUGGCCUACCCUGGUGGAGACAGGAGAGGCACAUGUCCUCCACAUGCCUGUCCAAGUGUCCGAUAGGGUGGUCCCUGCUCUGAAGGAUGAGUGUGAGCCGCAGGCCGUGGGGAUGCUCUGAGGAUGUGGGUGUCUGCCUAGUGCUGGGUGCUGCCAAUCUCUGUUUCUCCCCACCCCUCUCUGGAGGUGCUACCAUCGUCCUUUGCCCUCUGCGUGCUCUCCUCCCACCCCUGCUGCCUCUUGUUCUCUUUCUCCCUUGGGCCAUGAAAGUGUCAGGGAGCCCAGCCACGGCCUGGACGGCAGCCUCAGCUCCCAGUUGUCAACAAUUGUGUGUGUGUGUAUGUGUGUGUGCGUGUGUGUGUGUGUGCAUGUGUGCAUGCAUACGUGUGAGUGCCUGUGUGUAUGUGUGGGUGUGUAGGGGCUGGGGCUGGGGUCAACAAAGGAUCAGAGCCCAGCAGUAGAGAGUUUCUGGGAGGGUGGCGUUGCCCAUGAGUCGUGCCCUGCACCCUGGAGCCCAGAGGACUCUUCGCUCAAACCCACCACCAGCUGACAACACCGGAGCAGCCAGAGCCACUUCGUUCGCUGCCCAGAGGAGCCUGGGAGAAGCCAGAGGUGCUCGAGGAUGGAUUCCUGGCUCCUGGUGCACUGCCACUCCAUGCCACCCACCUCCUAGUUUUCUGUCUUCUCCUGGUGGCAUCAGGCCUUGCUUCGUGUCCCACCAGGAGUUUCUGGGGCUGGGACAGUCCUGGCUGUCUACAACCUGGGCCUGGUCGAUCUCUCAGGGUACGUCUGGGAGGUCAUGGCCACCCUGCUCCUGGCUAACUGCAGCUACUUCCGUCAGCCAGUGGACUACGGCUGGAGCGAGUGUGGAAUGAGGGUAUGGCAGGGAGCAGAAGGUAAGCAGAAGGUUAGGAGGGAGAACUUCAUAACAAUCUGAGGUCAAGGAGGUGUCGCCUGAGCCUUUCGAUGAGAGGCAGGGGACUGGCUGGUUAUGUGCAGGCUUUGGAGUCGGAUGACCUCGGACCUUGGGUUGGAUCUCAGCUCUGUCAUUUCCUUGCUGUGUGAUUGUGGGUGGCACACCUAACUUUUCUGGGACUCAAUUCUCUUACCUACAAAAUUGAGAUGAUAAUACCUAUUUUCUAAAGGGAAAUGAUUGAAAGAAGAUGGAAUCAGAUAGUAUAUGAUAGAUCAUAUAUGAAAGUGUUUAGCACGGGGCAGCACACAUUGAGUGGUAGCUAAGUGGUAGCUUCAUCACUGUUAGCUGUUCUCCGUUUCCCCUGGAAGCAGAAAAAAAAACCUUCCUUGUAACAAAAGACUCUAGCUGAGGCUUGUCACCAGGUAGCUGAGGCUUGUCACCAGGUGAUAUGUAUGUUGAGUCACUGGAUGUUGGUGAUGGGCUGAAGUCCUGUGACUCAAAGUAUGAUCCUGGGGCUGACAGCAUCAGCAUCAUCUGGGAGCUUGUGGGAAAUGCAGAAUCUCAUGUUCCACUCCAUGCACACCGAUUAAGAAUCUGCUUUUCAAUGAACAAAAUGCCCACAUGCUCAUUAGAUCACAAGGUUCUGGGCUGGGGCACAUUGGGAGAGUCCUUCUGUGGUCACUCCAGUAGCUUCUCCCCUUCUUUCCUGUGCUAACAGGCAUCUACCUGCAGACAGGUAGGACUGUGUAAUCAGCGGUGCAUAGAACAGUGAGGAUUCGAGGCUGAACCCAGACGAGCAAGGACGAGCUGUGGCACCAGCAGGACUGCAGUCUGAUGAACUUCCCCUUUCUGCCCAGCAGAUGGCGAGCGUGUGCUGCUGGUGCCGCUUUCUGAAGGCUGUUGAAUUGCAUGACAGGUGUUCUUUACUUUAUGAAUGAAGGCAAAGCAGCCCACCUUUCUGCAACUCUACCAUCAUGGCGCCAUGCCCUGUGAUGGUUGGUCUGGAGUCGAAUAUGC